CCCGAACAUAAGCCAUCCUCCUGUGUAUAAGCCCACCACUUAUCCUGACGCUCACCUCGUUCCAAAUCAGUGGCGUCGAAAGAUCGAUAAUUGGGGGGGGGGAGCAUAUUCAUAUAUUCAUGUUCUGCUUUAUUAAUUUCUUUUGAAAUCAAUUGUUUUUAAUUAUGGUAUGUGAACACGAAUAUAUGAAUAUCCCCCGACCAAUUAUCGAUCUUUCGACGCCUAUGUUCCAAAUAUAAGCCCCCCGAACAUAAGCCCACCCGAAUAUAAGCCCACUUGUUUAUCACUAUUGUUUAUCACUAUUACCACUAUUAAUCACUAUUAUUACUAUGCUUAACACUUGUUUAUCACUAUUACUAUACUUGUUUAUCACUAUUACACUAACACAAAACAUCGUCCAUGUAUAAUUAGCCCCUACCGUAUAUAAGCCCUCCCCUUGUAUAAGCCAAUCAAAAAUCGCUUACGAAACAGUGCCGUAGCAAGCGCAAUAAUUGGGGGGGGCUCAUAUUCAUAUAUUCGUUUAUUAAUUUCCUUUGAAAUCGAUUGUUUUUAUGGUCUGUGAACACGAAUAUAUGAAUAUCAUUCCCCCUAAUUAUCGAGCUUGCUACGGCACAGCCGGAAGAAUAUCAGCCCAGGGCUUAUAGUCGGAGUUUUACG